AAGGAGAUCAUUUUCAUUCGAAGGAGAGAGAAAGGGCAGAUAAUUGGACUAGAGUUAAACUUCUCCUUUUGUCCAUAGGACAAAAAAAAAUAUUUAAAUAAUAAACAGAAUUCCAAUGUUCUUUUAUUUUCUUAUUUUUGUAUUUUUAGUGGAAUACCAACUUCAUGUACACUUGGCUUAUUCAGCACCCAUAAAAUUCAAUGGACCACCAUCCGGACAAAAGGAUAAAAACAGAACACAUCAAGAUAAUGAAUUUUCUUCAAACUACUGAGGUACAAUGAAAAAUGGAAAUAUUAUCUCAGAAAUUACAACAGAGGGAUGAAGAUAUAGCAUAUGCUGUACCUAAAGAUACAUCAAAUGGGUUAUUGGGAAUAUGGAUUGAUGAAAUUUAAUUUACGAUUGUCCUAUAAUGCCUUUUCAUUACAGUACCACACAAAUUGAGGCAAUAAAUGUAUAUUUGAUCAAAAAAGUAUGGCCACUCGUCUUUUAACCAAAUAGAUUGCAAAUGUCAUUAGAAUUCAGAUUCUACGAGGCAGGAAAGAAGUGUUUUGACUAGAGACAAGGGCAGAUGGAAUAAGAGAGCCAGGCAUUCAGCAGGAAUUUAAUUUGUAUUGGCUUAGACAAGGCUGUGCAAUCUAGUUUCCUUUCUAUAUUUAUUUAAAGUGAUAUAUCUUCUUUCAGUAUAUCUGAUUUUCUAAUAACAGUAGGACUAACAAAUGUUAC
rnacentral:lncRNA from 1 species